GACGAACGCUGGCGGCGUGCUUAACACAUGCAAGUCGAACGAUAAGGCCCUUCGGGGUACACGAGUGGCGAACGGGUGAGUAACACGUGGGUGAUCUGCCCUGCACUUCGGGAUAAGCCUGGGAAACUGGGUCUAAUACCGGAUAGGACCACUGCCUGCAUGGGUGGUGGUGGAAAGCUUUUGCGGUGUGGGAUGGGCCCGCGGCCUAUCAGCUUGUUGGUGGGGUGAUGGCCUACCAAGGCGACGACGGGUAGCCGGCCUGAGAGGGUGACCGGCCACACUGGGACUGAGAUACGGCCCAGACUCCUACGGGAGGCAGCAGUGGGGAAUACUGCACAAUGGGCGCAAGCCUGAUGCAGCGACGCCGCGUGAGGGAUGACGGCCUUCGGGUUGUAAACCUCUUUCAGCACCGACGAAGCGCAAGUGACGGUAGGUGCAGAAGAAGGACCGGCCAACUACGUGCCAGCCGCCGCCGUAA
rnacentral:rRNA from 1 species